AGUGGACGCUGGCGGUAGGCCUAACACAUGCAAGUCGAACGGCAGCACAGUAAGAGCUUGCUCUUACGGGUGGCGAGUGGCGGACGUGUGAGGAAUACAUCGGAAUCUACUUUUUCGUGGGGGAUAACGUAGGGAAACUUACUCUAAUACCGCAUACGACCUACGGUUGAAAGCAUGGGAUCUUCGGACCUUGCGCGAUUGAAUGAGCCGAUGUCGGAUUAGCUAGUUGGCGGGGUAAAGGCCCACCAAGGCGACGAUCCGUAGCUGGUCUGAGAGGAUGAUAGGCCGCACUGGAAGUGAGACACGGUCCAGGCUCCUACGGGGGGCAGCAGUGGGGAAUAGUGGACAAUGGGCGCAAGCCUGAUCCAGCCAUACCGCGUGGGUGGAGAAGGCCUUCGGGUUGUAAAGCCCUUUUGUUGGGAAAGAAAAGCAGCAGGUUAAUACCCAGCUGUUCUGACGGUACCCAAAGAAUAAGCACCGGCUAACUUCGUG
rnacentral:rRNA from 1 species